rnacentral:rRNA from 1 species
GAGUCUUAAUUGGGCGUUAAGUUGCAGGGUAUAGACCCGAAACCCGGUGAUCUAGCCAUGGGCAGGUUGAAGGUUGGGUAACACUAACUGGAGGACCGAACCGACUAAUGUUGAAAAAUUAGCGGAUGACCUGUGGCUGGGGGUGAAAGGCCAAUCAAACCGGGAGAUAGCUGGUUCUCCCCGAAAGCUAUUUAGGUAGCGCCUCGUGAAUUCAUCUCCGGGGGUAGAGCACUGUUUCGGCUAGGGGGCCAUCCCGGCUUACCAACCCGAUGCAAACUGCGAAUACCGGAGAAUGUUAUCACGGGAGACACACGGCGGGUGCUAACGUCCGUCGUGAAGAGGGAAACAACCCAGACCGCCAGCUAAGGUCCCAAAGUCAUGGUUAAGUGGGAAACGAUGUGGGAAGGCCCAGACAGCCAGGAUGUUGGCUUAGAAGCAGCCAUCAUUUAAAGAAAGCGUAAUAGCUCACUGGUCGAGUCGGCCUGCGCGGAAGAUGUAACGGGGCUAAACCAUGCACCGAAGCUGCGGCAGCGACACUGUGUGUUGUUGGGUAGGGGAGCGUUCUGUAAGCCUGUGAAGGUGUGUCGUGAGGCAUGCUGGAGGUAUCAGAAGUGCGAAUGCUGACAUAAGUAACGAUAAAGCGGGUGAAAAGCCCGCUCGCCGGAAGACCAAGGGUUCCUGUCCAACGUUAAUCGGGGCAGGGUGAGUCGACCCCUAAGGCGAGGCCGAAAGGCGUAGUCGAUGGGAAACGGGUUAAUAUUCCCGUACUUGGUGUUACUGCGAAGGGGGGACGGAGAAGGCUAUGUUGGCCGGGCGACGGUUGUCCCGGUUUAAGCGUGUAGGUGUGUGUUCCAGGUAAAUCCGGUUCACUUUAACACUGAGGCGUGACGACGAGGCACUACGGUGCUGAAGCAACAAAUGCCCUGCUUCCAGGAAAAGCCUCUAAGCAUCAGGUAACAUCAAAUCGUACCCCAAACCGACACAGGUGGUCAGGUAGAGAAUACCAAGGCGCUUGAGAGAACUCGGGUGAAGGAACUAGGCAAAAUGGUGCCGUAACUUCGGGAGAAGGCACGCUGACACGUAGGUGAAGUGAUUUACUCAUGGAGCUGAAGUCAGUCGAAGAUACCAGCUGGCUGCAACUGUUUAUUAAAAACACAGCACUGUGCAAACACGAAAGUGGACGUAUACGGUGUGACGCCUGCCCGGUGCCGGAAGGUUAAUUGAUGGGGUCAGCGCAAGCGAAGCUCCUGAUCGAAGCCCCGGUAAACGGCGGCCGUAACUAUAACGGUCCUAAGGUAGCGAAAUUCCUUGUCGGGUAAGUUCCGACCUGCACGAAUGGCGUAAUGAUGGCCAGGCUGUCUCCACCCGAGACUCAGUGAAAUUGAACUCGCUGUGAAGAUGCAGUGUACCCGCGGCAAGACGGAAAGACCCCGUGAACCUUUACUAUAGCUUGACACUGAACAUUGAGCCUUGAUGUGUAG